CAGCAGCAGCCGCGGGAAUACGGAGGGAGCUAGCGUUGUUCGGAAUUACUGGGCGUAAAGCGCACGUAGGCGGUUAUUCAAGCCAGAGGUGAAAGCCCGGGGCUCAACCCCGGAACUGCCUUUGAAACUAGAUGACUGGAAUCUUGGAGAGGUCAGUGGAAUUCCGAGUGUAGAGGUGAAAUUCGUAGAUAUUCGGAAGAACACCAGUGGCGAAGGCGACUGACUGGACAAGUAUUGACGCUGAGGUGCGAAAGCGUGGGGAGCAAACAGGAUUAGAUACCCGCGUAGUCCCUGUCUCUUAUAC
rnacentral:rRNA from 1 species